UGGUACAGAUGGGGAUGUCGAAAAUAUCUGUGACAUAUUCCAAACUGGCCUACUUUCCUAUCACAGGAGUCUGAGAUAGAGACGGGCGAGGACGAGAGAGGUGGGAGUUUGGGAUUCGCACCCGUCCCUCCCCAGCUCAGGUGUUAGACCGGAGAUGGACUCAUGGCCUUCCCUGCAGACUCCUCUCUUCUGGGGCUUCGUGGUGGCGGCGGGGCUCUUGGGAGGGUGGAACAGAGGUUCCACUGCGUAGACACAGCACAACUUGUUUAUCGACUCCCCCCACCUGAAGACAGGAAGACGCUGAGCUGUUGGACCAAGCAACCAUUUGAUACUGAGGGAACUGUCACGUGACUUUUCCUCCGGCGGCUGCUGAACUAUUUUCAUUCCCACACGGAAUGCCCAAGAGGUUCGAUCUACCUUCAUUAUUAAACAAGGGAUGGGUAUGAC